UACGUAUGGUGCAAGCGUUAUCCGCAUUUACUGGGUGUAAAGGGAGCGCAGGCGGCACGGCAAGCCUGAUGUGAAAGCCCGCGGCCCAACCGCGGGACUGCAUUGGGAACUACCGGGCUGGAGUGCCGGAGAGGUAGGCGGAAUUCCUAGUGUAGCGGUGAAAUGCGUAGAUAUUAGGAGGAACACCAGUGGCGAAGGCGGCCUACUGGACGGUGACUGACGCUGAGGCUCGAAAGCGUGGGGAGCAAACAGG
rnacentral:rRNA from 1 species